rnacentral:rRNA from 1 species
GGAUUAGAUACCCUGGUAGUCCACACCGUAAACGCUGUCUACUAGCUGUUUGUGUAUUAUAUACGUGAGUAGCGAAGCUAACGCGCUAAGUAGACCGCCUGGGGAGUACGGCCGCAAGGUUAAAACUCAAAUGAAUUGACGGGGGCCCGCACAAGCGGUGGAGCAUGUGGUUUAAUUCGAUGCAACGCGAAGAACCUUACCUACACUUGACAUGCAGAGAACUUUCUAGAGAUAGAUUGGUGCCUUCGGGAACUCUGACACAGGUGCUGCAUGGCUGUCGUCAGCUCGUGCCG